GAUGAACGCUGGCGGCGUGCCUAAUACAUGCGAGUCGAGCGAACGGACGAGAAGCUUGCUUCUCUGAUGUUAGCGGCGGACGGGUGAGUAACACGUGGAUAACCUACCUAUAAGACUGGGAUAACUUCGGGAAACCGGAGCUAAUACCGGAUAAUAUUUUGAACCGCAUGGUUCAAAGGUGAAAGACGGUCUUGCUGUCACUUAUAGAUGGAUCCGCGCUGCAUUAGCUAGUUGGUAAGGUAACGGCUUACCAAGGCAACGAUGCAUAGCCGACCUGAGAGGGUGAUCGGCCACACUGGAACUGAGACACGGUCCAGACUCCUACGGGAGGCAGCAGUAGGGAAUCUUCCGCAAUGGGCGAAAGCCUGACGGAGCAACGCCGCGUGAGUGAUGAAGGUCUUCGGAUCGUAAAACUCUGUUAUUAGGGAAGAACAUAUGUGUAAGUAACUGUGCACAUCUUGACGGUACCUAAUCAGAAAGCCACGGCUAACUACGUG
rnacentral:rRNA from 1 species